rnacentral:rRNA from 1 species
UACGGGGGGGGCAAGCGUUGUUCGGAAUUACUGGGCGUAAAGGGCUCGUAGGCGGCCAACUAAGUCAGACGUGAAAUCCCCAGGCUCAACCUGGGAACUGCGUCUAAUACUGGAUGGCUUGAAUCCGGGAGAGGGAUGCAGAAUUCCAGGUGUAGCGGUGAAAUGCGUAGAUAUCUGGAGGAAUACCGGUGGCGAAGGCGGCAUCCUGGACCGGCAUUGACGCUGAGGAGCGAAAGCCAGGGGAGCAAACGGG